UCCUGUGACUGCUACUGAGGUGUUGGAGACUAUCAGACCCAUUUUACAGUAGAAAAGGUCAAGAGGCAAAUGGAUUGGCCCAAGGUGACACGGUUGCUAUAAAUCAGGGCCAGGCAUAGCCUGUAAACUACUAGUUCUUGGGGACAGGAAAGCAGAGGCUCUAUGACCUUGGGUCAGUUACUUCACCUCUCUGAACCUCAGUUUUCUCAUUUGAAAAAUGGGGCAAUGAGGUAAUGUUAUAUGGUGUGUUGAGCAAAGUGACCUGCUCAGUAAAUGUGAAUGGUGACUGCUGGUAUCACCCUCAGGACAUUUCAAGGAUGUUGCUGGGAAGAUCAAAUGCCAGUGAAGCUCUGUUGUUGCUAUACUCUGCCUGCAUCUCUACUCGGGACUUGGUAAGGGAAACUGAGGCCUAGCACGUGGAAAGAGCUGAGGUAAAGCCAGAAGGGAAGUCCUGACUCCUGAAUCUAGCAUCUCACAAACAAGAAUAAACUGUUGCAGCGGGGCCAAGAGGGAGCACGGUGGAUGGACAGCAGAACUGAGGACCAAGACAGAACCCACCCCCUGUCCCAGGGGUGUCUCUCUACUCUGUCUUGAUCUCAGCCUUGCCCACAUAAUCUUCUCCUCAACAAUAA